rnacentral:rRNA from 1 species
UUUUCUGCCACCGAAUACAUUAGCAUGGGAUAAUGGAAUAGGACCCUGUCCUCCUAUUUUCAGUUGGUUUUGGCAGCGCGAGGACUAGGGUAAUGAUUAAUAGGGAUAGUUGGGGGCAUUAAUAUUUAAUUGUCAGAGGUGAAAUUCUUGGAUUUAUGAAAGAUUAACUUCUGCGAAAGCAUCUGCCAAGGAUGUUUUCAUUAAUCAAGAACGAAAGUUAGGGGAUCGAAGACGAUCAGAUACCGUCGUAGUCUUAACCAUAAACGAUGCCGACCAGCGAUUAGGAGACGUUGAAUACAAAACACCACCAUCGGCGCGGUCGUCCUUGGCGUCGGUCUUUCGGGGCCGGCGCGGGGACGGCUUAGCCCGGUGGCACCGGUGAAUGACUCCCCUACCAGCUUGUGAGAAAAAA